rnacentral:lncRNA from 1 species
AGGGAACUGGCCAGGAGGAUGCAUGGCUGAAGGGACUGCCAUCUACUCUGUGUAUGUUUUCUGGUGAAUACUGGGAGGUGAUGUUCUGGCCUGCAUAAAGAAGCAUAUCUACAGUGAAUGGUGCCUUUUUCUGAACACACCCUCCAUAGCAGCACGAUCGACCCACAGUGACUGAGAACCCCAGGUGUCAGGCCUGAGCUCCAAGGCACUGAGGGUAAAGGGUGGGUCAGGCAUGGGCCCUGUCCUCUGAGAGUCCCCAGCCUGCUGUGGGAUGCAGGGUGGAUGACUUUCAUGCCUCCUAGAGCCAACCAAGGUGCCCAGGGAGAGGCUGCGACAGGGCGCUCGUGUGCUCAAUGGAUGGAGAAAUCCCCACAGUCUGGGAGGAGCCGAGAGAGGCGAUGAUGCUGAGGUGGCCUUCAGGUGGCCUUUACGGAAAAGGAAGGGCUUUUCUGGGCCUGGGUUUUUAUGACCCAUGUGAUCUGGGCCACACAUGCAACCCUUUACUGCUUAAAAGCCAAUCACUGCCAGUCACAAAAGGAUGAAAUGUGAAUGAUUCCACUCAUCUGAGGAACCUGGAGCAGUCACAUUCAUAGACCAGGAGGAGCACGGCAGCGGCCAGGGGCUAGGUGGGUGGAAUGGGAGUUGUGUCGAAUGGGUGCAGUUUCAAUUUGGGAAGACGGACAGAGCUCUGGGGAUGGACUUUCGUGAUGGUAGCACAACAUCAUGAAUGGACUGCGUGCUACUGAACUGACAAGUGGUUAGGAUGGUAGGUGUUAUAUUAUGUGUAUUUUACCACCAUUUAAAAACAUUUUAAACGUGAACUUUAAAAAAAUCCAUUUACUGAAAGCUUUCCCUGCCAGCCUCAGAGCCAAGGAUAUACCAGGCACAUUGCUGUUCUUGAGAAGUUCCAUGUUUCACAGCACAGACAGGAGCAUGUGGGUGUCAGGGUGGAGGGGACAGAGGGUACUGCCCUAACUGGAGCCAGCGAUGUGGAGGAGCCACACCUUCACCUGAGGCAGUGGCGAAAGGCUUCAGAAAAGCAGUGAUGUGAAGUCAGAGGCCACCUCUCAGGAGUGGGAGGGCAGGCAGGAGCUGUACCUCACGGCAGGCAGCCACUGGCACCACGUGCUGUGUAAACAACUGCUCAGGAAUGCCACUGGCGAUGGGGUCCUGCCUCCACAUGUCAGCCUUCCCUCCUGUGGUCAUAUGCCCAGGCUUAGGCCAGCGGCAUGACCCACAUCUUUCCACACAGACCCCAUGUGGGCCACCUCUCCGCUGGCCUGUGAGCUCAUGAGGUGGGGACCACAUCUGUCAUGCUCACCACCGAAUCCUCCACACCUGGCCCAGGGCUGGCACACAUUAGGUGCUCAAUCCAUUUUUCUAGUAAGACUAAGGAGGCCCUUGCUCAUGGCAUUCCUUCUCUUCCUCUCACGGUGCCCAGAUCCUAUUCAUCAGUCAAGACCUGAUGCCACAUCUCCCAAGCAGCCGUCCCUGGUGCCCUUGCUUGGAAAUUGCUGCGCCGUUCAUGGAGCCUAACACUGUGUUCGAGACCAGCAUCAGGGCAGUCACCACAGACCAACCCAUAUUCAGCUUUUAUAACAUGAUUUAAUUCCCACAGCCACCCAGUGGGGAGGGAUGACUAUUACUACCACUGGAUGAAUGAGGAAACUGAGGCCUGGGGUGUUGAAUAACUUCAUUGAGGUCACACAGCACUAGACCACGGAGCAAGUAUUGGCAAAGGACUUCCAUGAUGCGGGGCUUGAUCCAGAACCCUGUCAGAAGGGGCCCCCGGCAGAAUGGCCUCUGUACCAUGACAGAAACUCUAAAUGUCUCAACUGCAUCACUGUCAUGGACUUUGGCCCACCUCAGACUUCAACUGCAGUGGUGGGGGGCAGUUCCAUGAGAGCUCAGGCUCAGCUGAGCUGACAGCAUCCUGGCUCAGGUGUGGCCCUCUUUCUGCUCUAGAGAUUCUUGUCCAUCUUGGGAGCCGUCUCCUCCACCCCCACUAUUCCCACCUUACCCAAAAGCAUGGGAGAGUCCAGGCCUCCCAUCCUUUGACCAAAGGGAAGUAGGAGCCAUUACAUGGUGUUUGCCUCCUGUCCUGCAGUUCUAGGAGGCCUCUGCACACCUCUGUGGAGCUGAGCCCUGGUUGCCCUCAACAGCUACCUGGUGACCCCUACCCCUGUGACCACACUUUGCCUGCUUCCCCAACUCCCUCUCUCUCUCACUCCUUCUUGGCAUCACCUCCACAAAAACAUACCCGCACCCAAACCAGUGUCUCAAGCUGUGCUUCUUGGAGGUGGGGUGAGGGGAAUCUUCCAAGAACUCAAAAGCCUAGUAAUUAGGUUUCCCUUUUCACCCACGGGUUACUGGUAACUUCUGAUGUGAGUUAUUAAGGGUCAUGAAAAUUUGGCAUUUGUAAACCAAGAUUAGAGUUAUACCGAAUAUUACGGAGGGCGCCAAUUCAGCUUUGUAUCAAGAAGGCCAGCAACCAUGCAACACUGAAAAGCCCCUACUGUGCGUGACCACUGGCCAGUCGCUGGAAGGGCCACCAUUCUCAGAAAGGAUGCUUUGCGGGCAACACAUCCUCAAGAUGGCCUUGAGUCAGUCAUGGCUUCUUCUGCCUUUUAAACAAUGAAGUGCUAUAAGGUACCAUUAGUUGGGUGACAAAUGAAAGAUGUUCACAAGGUCUUGGACGCUCCUACAUCAAGAAGUGGAGACUAUUUCUGCUCCCUUUGAAUCUGUGCUGACCUGUGACUAUUUUAACCAGCAGUAUGGCAGGACUGACACCAGGCUAGCUUCAGGCUUAGACUUGAAGAGAACUGACAGCUUCUUUUUGGGAUCUUGGAGCCCUCCUGCCUUGCAGAACCUUGCUGGAGACCCCACAUGAAGAGGAGUCAAGACUACUCACGGAGAGAGAGGGGCUCCGUGAGCACUGCCUCCCAACCAUCCAAGGAAGCAGCCUGUGAACAAAGUCGUCUUGCGUCCUCUAGACUAGUCCAGCAUCUGCUGGACCCCAGACAAUACCACAUGAAACCCAGAAGAAUCCCUCAACUCAGUCCUGCCUGAAUUUCUAACCCAGUUCACUGUGAAAUUUCUAAUCCAGUUCAUUGUGAAAUGGAAUAACACAAUGGUCAUUGUUUUAAGCCACUGUGCUUUGGGGUCGUUUGUUACACAGCAAUAGAUGCUCGAAACCGUUUUGCCUUACCACUGUUGAUUUAGUUUGUGGUGCACGGCAAUGUACAUUUGCAUCAACAGAAUUGGGGGCAAUAAUUAUGGAUAUAGAUAUAGGUAUAGAUAUAGAUACACACAUAGACUUUCAGUUCAAAUGAAUCAUCCAUACCCUCUUGCUGAAGUAGCUGGAAAACUCAUCCCAAAAAAACAGCUCCUGCAGCAACCUUCAUUGGUCAUAUGCUGCCUGGGAAUCUGUGCUAUUUCUAUAAAUUGCAGUGUAAAUGUAAUCCAAGUCCUAGGCUAUUUUUAAAUUUAUGAAUCGUUUUGUCAUGUGAAGUUGCAUUUAUAAGCCCACUAUUUUUACAUAUAAAUUUAAAUGAUAAGAAACUCAUCAAUAGGAAAGGUAGCGUGGUGUAGAGGUUAGGAGCUGGACUCUAAGGCCAGCUGCUUGUGUUCAAAUCCUAACCCCUGGGUUUCCUCUCUGUGAUGUGAUGAGAACAACGGAAACACUUAACAGAGUCAUAAGACUUAAAUUAGUUGAUAUGUACACGUGCUCAGAACAGCACCUGGCUGAUAAUAAGGCCAAAUAGGCUUAUUGCAACUUGUUUAUUUGUCCUCUCCAAUUUCAUAUUGUCAUCUAGUUCUUUCUUCACCAAAAGACGGGAGCAUCAUAGAAGGAGGAAUGAGAGGUUGGCCCUAGAGUGUUUAACAUAGACUUAGCCCAUAGAUGGCCUUCUGUAAAUCUCUGUGGAAUUGAUUGACAGUUACCCAAUAAAUAUACACUUUUCCUAGACAUCUAACAUCGUUUAAACAAUUUCUUGGCCAGGCUUGGUGGCUCAUGCCUGUAAUCCUAGCACUUUGGGAGGCCGAGGAGGGUGGAUCACCUGAGGUCUGGACCUCAGGUUGAGACCAGCCUGACCAACAUGGAGAAUCCCUGUCUCUACUAAAAAUAUAAAAAUUAGCAGGGUGUGGCAGUGCAUGCCUGUAAUCCCAGCUACUCAGGAGGCUGAGGCAGGAGAAUCGCUUGAACCUGGAAGGCUGAGGUUGCGGUGAGCCAAGAUCACGCCACUGCACUCCUCCAGCCUGGGCAACAAGAGCAAAACUCAGUCUCAAAAAAAAAAUAAAAUAAAUCUUCAGUACAGAUCACUGCAAACCAUCAAGCACAUGGUGGUUUGGGCCCAGAGAACAAAUGUGUCACACCCACCUGCGCCCGAUGCCUUCUGCUCCAGCCUCCUUGCUGCCGUCCACGUUGAAGUUAUCCAUUGAUGUACUCAGCAGGCCUCCUGCAGCACCCUGAAGCCUGGAUACAAACAACUCGUUUUCUGAGCAUGACAAUCUCUGAAUCCAAAUGAGAGGCUUAGACCGGGCCUGGUGUGCAGGACUCAAAUUGGCCAUUUGCACAAACUUAUCAUGGUCUGAAUUUGGGGAGAAAAACAUAGACAUACACACACACAAGAAUGAUGCUGGAUCCAUUGCUCUGGUGGUUGUAACAUAUCACUGGGCCCCCGCUCUCCUCCUCCUUUCUUUUUCUGCUGCUAUUUUGUCUCCUGUGAUUAUCCCUGGGAAUGCAAGGUCUCCUAAUUAGCACUUGCUAAUGAAAGAAACCUCAGAAACAGAAGAAGGAAGAGACGAGAUGCUCUCUCUCCCCUUGCAGCUGACAGGACGCAGAGCCAAAGAGCCUGUUUAAAUGGGUGCUAACCCUAGAGUAUUUGCGGGUGUGUCGGGCUCCGGCCGAGCCUCCUGCGAAAUCAGCUGCCCCAUCCCCUUCUGCUUUCUGCUUUUACAGAUCUGUCCUCCCAAACAUUCUUGUAGCAAAUGUGCCUCCAAAUCUCCUGGGAUCCCAAGAUUAGGCUCUGCUCUGUGGAGUAUAACCUUUAAUCUCUACACAGCGUAGUUUGCCCUGGUAAUCAUAUUUAAUACAAGGUCCUAUUUCCUGAAAUAUAAUAUGAGAUGUGUUGGGUUCCCCCCAGCUUUGACACUUGCCUUUCUCCUUCCAUGCAGAAAUGUUUAAUAAAUAACUUUGAUGAAGUCUUGAACUUAAGACCAUGGAUGUGAUUAACUCCCCACUUCACUAUUCACAUUGAUCAUAAAAAAAAUGGGAUUUGAAAAAUAGAGCUUUUAAGUUAAUGAGGCUUUACAUAAAGCCAAGUUAGUAUUUUAAGACAGGAAAAUGAUGACUACAUUCUGACCAUCUGCGCCUUGCUAAAACCAAGAAGGAAAGAACGGUCAGACACAUGGUAGUGGUGUGGCUCCUGGUUUCUCUGUGUGUGUAUGUGUGUGUGUGUGUGCACAUGCACUUCUAGAGCCUGGUGAAGUGCCUCCAUUUCAAGGAUAUCCAUGGGCAUAUAUUUCUUCAAACAGACCCCCCUCUCUUCUCUACAAUGGUGUCUGGUUCCCUGCCAGGGCUGUGCUUACUGAAAAAGCCAGCCUUUUAAAAAAAAACUUUUUGAGAAUUUUCUGCAUGCAUGAGGCACUAUGGUACCAUCACUCACAUACAGUAGGCAAAAAGCAAUGAAGGAAUAUAAGUAAAUUAAAUGUGAC